GAUUCUCCUGCCUCAGCCUUCUGAGUAACUGGGAUUACAGGUUGUCUGUUUACUCUGUUGAUGGUGUCUUUUGCUGGAAGCAUGAGUUUUAGAUUCAGAAAUAUGUGAGUCUGAGUCCUGGUUCCACCUUUUAUCAGGGAUCAGAUCUGCAUUGUGGUCUGAGGGAUCUCCCAGGCUUCUCCCACACCUGCCCGACUUUCCCUUACAGGUGUUUUUCCUGAUAAAUUAUCUUGCAUGUCUAAUCCCAUCUUGGCUGCAUCUCAGUGGGUAAAAACUAAUAUACUAGGUUUGAUUCUUUGCAUUUAGGUUUUUAUUCUCUCUCUUUCACAUGUAGCCAAUUAUGUCCUAGUGUUUUCUGUGUUGCCUUUUUUUAAUGUGUAUUUACAUAAAAUACCUUUUACAUACAUAUAUACACACACACACACACACACACACACCCACACACCCUUUUGCAUCUGUUUCUUUAUUUCUGUUGGAACCAUUUACUUUUGGCCCUCACCAGUCAACUCAGGCUGAUGAUUAACGCUAUGUUACCUACUGUUGAGGGGCAUCUUCUACGUGCCAGGCCCUGUGCUGAAUACUUUACCUGUAUCUCAUUUGAUUUAUAUAAGAACCCUGUCAGGUAGACAUUAUUUUCAUUUUACAGAUGAGAAGACAAAGGCUUAGAGUGGUGAAAAAACUGUAGUAAUAUAGCAGCUAACAUUUGUGAAACAUUUCCUCUGUAUGUGAUAUUUUGCUGAAGGUUUCAUUGAUGAUUACAUUAAACCUUUAAAACAAUGCUAUGAAGCAAACAUUGUUACUGCAAUUUUCAGUUGAGGAAUCAGAGGCUCAGAGAAGUUAAGAAUCUUGUGCAAUAAAUUUAUAACUGCAAACUCUUACAUUAAAAAAGAAGAAAGAUCUUAAAUCAACAACCUAAUUUACAACUUCACAAUAUAGGAGAAAAAUAAACUAAACCCAAACACAGUGAAUGAAGGAAGUAAUAAGGAUUAGGGUGGAUAUAAAUAAAAUGGAGAAU